rnacentral:rRNA from 1 species
AUGGCUGUACUCUCUCUCGCCGCGUGCGUCGCCUUCUUCCAUCUCCUCCUUCUCUUCUCUUCGUCUUCCUCUCUCCGCGUAGCCCCCGAAGCGGCGGAGAGCUCGGGAUCGGCGCCCCAUGGCCGGACCGCCUACCACUUCCAGCCCGCCAAGAACUGGCAGAACGAUCCGAAUGGGCCAAUGUACCACAACGGCAUGUACCACUUGUUCUACCAGUACAACCCGCACGGCGCCACCUGGGGCGUCGGCAACCUCUCCUGGGGCCACUCCGUCUCCGGCGACCUCGUGAACUGGGCCGCCCUCGACGCCGCGCUCGAGCCCACCUCGCCGUUCGACGCCAACGGCUGCUGGUCGGGCUCCGCCACCAUCCUCCCCGGCGGCGUCCCGGCCAUCCUCUACACCGGCAUCAGCGCCGACGGCGAGCAGGUCCAAAACGUGGCCUUCCCCAAGAACGCGUCCGACCCGCUCCUCCGUGAGUGGGUGAAGCCGAGCUACAACCCCGUCAUCCCGCUCCCCGCUGACGUCCCCGCGGAUUUCUUCCGCGACCCUUCCACGGCGUGGCUCGGCCGCGACGGUCUGUGGCGCCUCGCCGUAUCGGCCAAGGUCGGUAACGCCGUGGGGUCUACGCUCAUCUACCGAAGCAAGGACUUCCGGCUGUGGGAGCGGAAUGCCGCCCCGCUGCAAGAGUCACGCGCCGCCGGCAUGGUGGAGUGCCCGGACCUGUUCCCGGUGGCGGAGCCCGGCGUGGAGGAGGGGCUCGACCACGCGCCGAGGACCGGCACCGGGGUGAGGCAAGUGCUGAAGCUGAGCGCGAUGGACACGUUUCAGGACUACUACGCGGUCGGGCGUUACAACGACACGUCGGACACCUUUGAACCGGAGGACGACGGCGACGACUGCCAGAGCUGGCGCCGCCUCGACUACGGCCACGUGUACGCGUCCAAGUCCUUCUUCGACGCGCGCAAGAACCGGCGCGUGCUCUGGUCAUGGGCCAACGAGACCGACAGCCAGGCCGACGACGUCGCCAAGGGCUGGUCCGGCGUCCAGAUCUUCCCACGGAAGGUAUGGCUGGACAACGACGGGAAGCAGCUAAGGCAAUGGCCAAUCGAGGAGAUCAAGACGCUGAGGAGCAGAAAGGUCGGGUUGCUGGGAAUGGUGGUGAACUCCGGCGGCGUGAACGAGAUCGUCGGCGUCGCGGGCACACAGGCGGACGUGGAGGUGAUCUUCCAGAUCCCGGCCCUGGAGGGAGCCGAGAGCUUCGAGCCCAACUGGCUGCUGGAUCCGCAGAGGCUGUGCGGGGAGAAGGGCGCGUCCGUGCCCGGCGGGGUCGGCCCGUUCGGGCUGCUCGUCAUGGCCUCCGGCGACCUGCAGGAGCACACCGCCGUCUUCUUCAGGGUGUUCAGGCACCAUGACAAGUACAGAGUCCUCAUGUGCACCGACCUGAGCAGGUCAACUACAAGAGCCGGGGUGUACAAGCCACCGUACGGGGCUUUCGUGGACAUGGACAUCGAAGCGCACGGCGGGAUCAUCUCGCUCAGAACACUGGUUGACCACUCGGUGGUGGAGAGCUUCGGCGGCGGAGGCCGGACGUGCAUCACGGCGAGGGUGUACCCGGAGCACGCCGAGAACGGCAACAGCCACCUGUACGUGUUCAACAACGGGACAGGUGCGGUGAAGGUGGCCAAGCUCGAGGCGUACGAGCUGGCGACGGCGACCGUGAACGUUGGGGACGACGGGUUGAUUCAGCCGAGUUCCAUGCGCAAAGGUGAAGCGUAG